rnacentral:tRNA from 1 species
GGAGUUGUAGCUCAGCGGUAGAGCACUAACCUAGCACGUGGGAGGCUCUGGGUUCCAUCCUCAGCACCA